rnacentral:rRNA from 1 species
AGUUACCAGCACGUUAUGGUGGGCACUCUAAGGAGACUGCCGGUGACAACCGGAGGAAGGUGGGGAUGACGUCAAGUCAUCAUGGCCCUUACGGGCCUGGGCUACACACGUGCUACAAUGGUCGGGUACAAAGGGUUGCCAAGCCGCGAGGUGGAGCUAAUCCCAUAAAACCGAUCGUAGUCCGGAUCGCAGUCUGCAACUCGACUGCGUGAAGUCGGAAUCGCUAGUAAUCGUGAAUCAGAAUGUCACGGUGAAUACGUUCCCGGGCCUU